UCUCUUCUUUCUUCUUCACCUCAAAUCGAAUCGAACACAUAAACCCAUCUCCUUCCCAGUUCUAACCCUAGACCUUAAUCUUCUCGAAUUCAUGUUCAUCUUUCAAGGUCUCCGUUCAAACCCUUUACUCAGUUGCUUCGUUUAAACCCUCAUAGUCUAAUUCCAGCAAAUCUGAUGGAGAAGUUUUGAAUUAACGUCCAAUCUUAGUGAUUGUUGGAUCUCACAAGCCAAGUGAUAAGGCGCCUACAGCAGUAAAGAUUCUUUGUUGAGGUUCACACAGCUCCUGGUGGUGGAUCUUGCUACUUUGUAGAGGAUGACAAGUAGUGAUGUAGAGGAUGAAAAGGAAAUUGAAUGGGAUUAAGGUGGUUUAAAUUGUUGUUUGUUUCAUCUGCUGAUUUGGAUUGGUUUUGCCCUUCAUGUCUGAAUCUCUUUGUUUUCUAGCUUGUGAACAUGCAUAACAUUCUCUGGUUCAUAUUUGAGUUGCUUGUAAAAAAAAUUCUACGGUAGUAAGUGUUUAUCAAAGUGAUUGGCCAGUUUGCUUAAUUUUUUUGAAUGUAAGAUCUGAUCGAUAUAUUCUUUAAAUGUGAUA